CCCGCUGAACUUAAGCAUAUCACUAAGCGGAGGAAAAGAAAUUAACUAAGAUUGCCUCAGUAACGGCGAGUGAAGCGGCAAAAGCCCAAAAUGUAAAUCUUCACACUGCGUGUGAACGAAUUGUAAUCUAAAGAUGGUUCGCUUACCGGGCGGUGGCGCAGAAGUGCCUUAGAACGGGCCGCCAGAGAGGGUGACAGCCCCGUAUGUGGUGCCACUGCCUACCGAGCGUGCUAUCGAAGAGUCGGGUUGUUUUGUAUUGCAGCCCUAAGUGGGAGAUAAACUUCUUCUAAGGCUAAAUAUCUAUGGGAAACCGAUAGCGAACAAGUACUGUGAAGGAAGGAUGAAAAGAACUUUGAAAAGAGAGUCAAAAGACUUGAAAUCGUUGAGAAGGAAGCGGUAGAAAUUUAUUCUUCGGCGGAGGACAGUGGCGGCUGCCUAUCCAUUGCCGGGCGUCAGCACUGCAAAGGCUGCGUCUGGUACUUGGGGAAGCGGCCGCUUUGCCCUCCGUCGUGAGGCAAGAUGGGGUCGCGUUCCCGCAGAGGCCUCCUCGACCUGGCCUGAUUCGUCAGGCAGUCGGGGAUGUGCCGGCGGGCGCGCGGCCUGAGGGUGCUUCGUGCGAUCUUGCCAAAAUGGUUUUUACCGACCCGUCUUGAAACACGG
rnacentral:rRNA from 1 species